AUGACGGAUGAAGAAAAGUUGUUACUGAGAACAUUGAACUCAGCAAAACUGCCAACAAGAAAAAUAAUGGACAUACUAUCAUUUUUAAGGCAUGGCCCGCUUCCAUACACGAAGAAAUAUGUGACGAAUGUGAGGGCAUCGAUCAGGAAAGAGAAUGAUGGCAACGAUAUGAUGCAGCUGCUGGACUACUUCAGGAACAAGCAAGCAGAAGAUCCAAGAUACUACUACAAGUUUAAGGUUCAUCCGCAAAAACCAAGCAAAGUGCUGUUCAUUUUCUGGGCUGAUGGCUACUCAAGGAAAAUGUAUGAUCUGUAUGGAGACAGCCUAUGUUUCGACACAACCUACAAAACCAACAAAUACAACCUGCCAUUUGCCCCAUUUGUUGGUGUGUCCGGGCAUGGACAGAACUUCUUGUUUGCAUGUGCUAUCAUUCAGGAUGAGACGAUCAACAUGUUCAUUUGGCUCUUUCAGACAUUCCUAGAGUGUAUGGGCGGGAAGCAGCCAAGGACCGUUAUCACGGACCAAGACACGUCCAUGAAGGAGGCUGUCCCUGAGGUGUUCAACCUCUCCAAGCACAGAAACUGUCUGUUUCAUGUGAAGAAAAAAGCUGAAGAGAAAUGUUGCAGGACUUUUGUCACAAAAGGUGAUCUCCAUGCUGAUUUCAUAGACAUUGUGCACAACUCCCUCACAGUUGCAGAGUUUGAAAGGUUGUGGCAAGAGAUGGUGCAGAAGUAUGACAUUGGUGUUGUUAACUAUUUCAAGAUUAUGUGGAAAGAGAGGAGAAGGUGGGCACCUGUCUACUUCAAGACAGAUUUUCUCCCACUCUUACACUCAACAUCAAGGAGCGAAGGCAUGAAUGCCAUAUUCAAGGACAAUGUAGCGUCGACCGACAAUGUGAUUAGUUUCAUGACAGAAUAUGAGAAGAUAUCUGAACGCAUACAAGACAUGGAGAGGGAGCAAGACUCGUUGACAAGGACAACGAAACCAACAUUCUGGGUGCACAAUGAGCUUGAGAUUCAGGCAUCACGAAUGUACAACCGACAGAUUUUUUACCGGUUUAAAAAACAAAUGAAGUUUGCUGCCCAACUGCACGUGGAUGUUGUUGAGAAUGGAUCAAGGUUUGAGGUUUACAAGUCGAGCAUGCUUGCGGAAAAGGUUUUCAGGACACGACGUUACCUUGUACUAGCAAACCUGAAGCAAGAAGAAUUUGCUUGCAUCUGUGGGAAGUUUCAAAAGGAUGGCAUUGUGUGUGCACAUAUACUGCGUGUGCUUGUCAACCUGAACAUGGCCGUCCUACCAGACAAGUAUUAUAUUCAGAGAUGGAAACCAAAAGACAGAAAAUAUGUAAGAGACAAGCAGUUCAAUGUUCCCAUGGAACUGACUGAGGCAAGCAGACAUUUGAGAUAUUCACAGCUAUCAACAAUUCUCAAUGAGAUGGCUUCCGAUGGGGCAAGAACGAAUCAAAAGUACUUGUAUGUUGUGAACGAAAGUGAGAGAAUAUUUGUCGGGCUUGAUGAGAUGACCAAGGCAGAUGAGUUGAGGGAGCUUCAGGCAAGAGGAGUUGUUGUGGAAAAAGAACCUCCAAUACAAAUGCAAGUACCCCACCCUGAUGGCUAUGACAACCUAUAA
rnacentral:rRNA from 1 species